rnacentral:misc_RNA from 1 species
GUCGUAUUUUAGCAGCAGCUCUUCAGCAUUCAGUACGAAAAACUAAAAUGGAGAUGACAAUCUUCAUAAUUUUGUUCACCGCCCCAUUUACUGCUCUCACAGCUUCGACGGCGGCUCUUGUACCUCCGGACGAAUCUCAGAUUCCGUCUUCAUCUGGUCAGCAGAAUCAGAAUUCGGUGAUCUACGAAUUGCAAGAAGCGAAGAUCAAAAUCGCUCGAUUAGAAUCCAU